rnacentral:siRNA from 1 species
AUUGUAAAUAAGUCCCAACUCCAG